rnacentral:rRNA from 1 species
CCUGGCUCAGGAUGAACGCUGGCGGUCUGCUUAACACAUGCAAGUCGAACGCAACCUUCGGGUUGAGUGGCGGACGGGUGAGUAACGCGUGAGAAUCUGCCUUGGGGUCGGGGACAACCACUGGAAACGGUGGCUAAUACCGGAUAAGCCUUUGGGUAAAAAAUUCAUUGCCCCAAGAGGAGCUCGCGUCUGAUUAGCUAGUUGGUGAGGUAAAAGCUCACCAAGGCAGCGAUCAGUAGCUGGUCUGAGAGGACGAUCAGCCACACUGGGACUGAGACACGGCCCAGACUCCUACGGGAGGCAGCAGUGGGGAAUUUUCCGCAAUGGGCGAAAGCCUGACGGAGCAAGACCGCGUGAGGGAGGAAGGCUCUUGGGUUGUAAACCUCUUUUCUCAGGGAAGAAGCUCUGACGGUACCUGAGGAAUCAGCCUCGGCUAACUCCGUGCCAGCAGCCGCGGUAAUACGGAGGAGGCAAGCGUUAUCCGGAAUUAUUGGGCGUAAAGCGUCCGCAGGUGGCGAUUCAAGUCUGCUGUCAAAGCACGGGGCUUAACUCCGUUAAGGCAGUGGAAACUGAAUAGCUAGAGUGCCGUAGGGGUAGAGGGAAUUCCCGGUGUAGCGGUGAAAUGCGUAGAGAUCGGGAAGAACAUCGGUGGCGAAAGCGCUCUACUGGACGGCAACUGACACUCAGGGACGAAAGCUAGGGGAGCGAAUGGGAUUAGAUACCCCAGUAGUCCUAGCUGUAAACGAUGGAUACUAGGUGUAGCUUGUAUCGACCCGAGCUGUGCCGAAGCUAACGCGUUAAGUAUCCCGCCUGGGGAGUACGCACGCAAGUGUGAAACUCAAACGAAUUGACGGGGGCCCGCACAAGCGGUGGAGUAUGUGGUUUACUUCGAUGCAACGCGAAGAACCUUA